rnacentral:rRNA from 1 species
AAUAGAUACCCAGGUAGUCCACCCCGUAAACGUUGGGAACUAGUUGUGGGGUCCAUUCCACGGAUUCCGUGACGCAGCUAACGCAUUAAGUUCCCCGCCUGGGGAGUACGGCCGCAAGGCUAAAACUCAAAGGAAUUGACGGGGACCCGCACAAGCGGCGGAGCAUGCGGAUUAAUUCGAUGCAACGCGAAGAACCUUACCAAGGCUUGACAUAUACGAGAACGCUGCAGAAAUGUAGAACUCUUUGGACACUCGUAAACAGGUGGUGCAUGGUUGUCGUCAGCUCGUGUCGUGAGAUGUUGGGUUAAGUCCCGCAACGAGCGCAACCCUCGUUCUAUGUUGCCAGCACGUAAUGGUGGGAACUCAUGGGAUACUGCCGGGGUCAACUCGGAGGAAGGUGGGGAUGACGUCAAAUCAUCAUGCCCCUUAUGUCUUGGGCUUCACGCAUGCUACAAUGGCCGGUACAAAGGGCUGCAAUACCGUAAGGUGAGCGAAAUCCCAAAAAGCCGGUCCCAGUUCGGAUUGAGGUCUGCAACUCGA